ensembl:lncRNA
ACAGGUGUGGUGGAGGUGACUCUGGACGUACUAGUUUGAAGCGUGCUUGUUGCUGGAGUGGUGGUGCUUGUUGCUGUGGGGCUGGCAGUGGUGGUUUUGGUGGUUGUAGCAGGAGAUGGUGUAGCAGUCGUAGGUGGGGUGGUUGUAGCAGGAGAUGGUCUAGCAGUCGUAGGUGGGGUGGUUGUAGCAGGAGAUGGUGUAGCAGUCGUAGGUGGGGUGGUUGUAGCAGGAGAUGGUGUAGCAGUCGUAGGUGGGGUGGUUGUAGCAGGAGAUGGUGUAGCAGUCGUAGGUGGGGUGGUUGUAGCAGGAGAUGCUGUAGCAGUCGUAGGUGGGGUGGUUGUAGCAGGAGAUGCUGUAGCAGUCGUAGGUGGGGUGGUUGUAGCAGGAGAUGCUGUAGCAGUCGUAGGUGGGGUGGUUGUAGCAGGAGAUGCUGUAGCAGUCGUAGGUGGGGUGGUUGUAGCAGGAGAUGCUGUAGCAGUCGUAGGUGGGGUGGUUGUUGCGGACGUUGUUAUGAUGCUCGUGGUGGUUGUAGUAUCUGCAGUUGUAACUGGGAAACUAUCACCGGAAGUGGUGGGUGGUGUGGUUUUGGUGACUGUGGUAUGAGAUGGUGACAUGGAUGUAGGUGUAGUUGCUGAUGUUGUUAUGAAUAGUAUGGGUGCAGUCUCAGUGGUUGUGGUGGGGGUGGUGGUACUGGCAGUGGUAGGUGUGGUUUUGACGGCUGUGGUUAGAGACGGCUUCGUGGCUGUGGGUAUGGGUAUGGUUCCUGCAGUUGUAGCGGGAGUGGAGGCACCAGUGGACGUUUGGAUGGUAUGUGUCAAGCUGGCUGUUCUAGCUGGCGGAGGGAUGGUUGUGUGUGUAGUUGCUGGUGUUGUUAUGGGUGGUGCGACUGUAGUCUCUGCGGUUGUGACAGGGGUGGUGCUACUGGCGGCUGUAGGAGAUGUGGUUUUGAUGGCUGUGGUUGGAGCAGGUGCUGUUAUGCUGCUCCGAGAGGGUGUGGUUACAGCAGCGGUGGUGCUGAUGUUUGUUGUACUCGUUUGUGGGACUGAUGGAGCUGAGGUGCUACUUGCAGUGACUGCAUCACCUGUUGGUGCUGUUGAUAAUACUCCUUGAGUCAGACUCUCUGAGAUGUUUGGAUGAAGGGUGGAGUCUGUGUGUGUGGGUGGGGUCUGGCCGUGAGUCCUGGGUGGUCUAUGUGUGCUGGUGCUGGAUGCAGACGGUGGAGGAGUGGUGGUGGUGGGUGCAGCUGAGGCGGUGCUGUCUGAGGAUGCUGCAGAUGUUUGGUGUGUGGAUCCAUCCUCAGGUUGUAACUCAGUUAUGACGUCUGUUGCUCCACCUGUGCUCACACGUGAGGAACCCAGCGUCAUGCCUUCACCUCCGCUCGACUUGGACUGGUUUCUAGUGAUGGAGGACCAUGACUUGUACGACGACGUGACCACCUCCGUCCUGACUAGGGAGUCACCUCCACCUGACGAGGUCUCCGAGGCGAGUGACUGGUCGGUGGUAAAAGCAGCUGUGCCAUUUAAAGGGGAUAGGUGGGUGACUGCAGGGGAAACAUCUGGAGGUGACAGAUUGUCCGUGACAGCGUUCCCAGGACGCCUGAUGGUUUGGGCGGAGUUAGACAGGUCCAGCGGUGUGGAUGAAGAAAAGGUGGAGGUGGCUGGAGAUGUGU